UACGUAGGGUGCGAGCGUUAAUCGGAAUUACUGGGCGUAAAGCGUGCGCAGGCGGUUCGUCAAGGCUGAUGUGAAAGCCCCGGGCUCAACCUGGGAACUGCAUUGGAUACUAGCGAGCUUGAGUGUGGCAGAGGGGGGUGGAAUUCCACGUGUAGCAGUGAAAUGCGUAGAGAUGUGGAGGAACACCGAUGGCGAAGGCAGCCCCCUGGGCUGACACUGACGCUCAGGCACGAAAGCGUGGGGAGCAAACAGG
rnacentral:rRNA from 1 species